rnacentral:rRNA from 1 species
UACGUAGGUGGCAAGCGUUGUCCGGAUUUAUUGGGUUUAAAGGGUGCGUAGGCGGUUUCAUAAGUCAGUGGUGAAAUACGGCAGCUCAACUGUCGAGGUGCCAUUGAUACUGUGAGACUUGAGUACAGACGAGGUAGGCGGAAUUGACGGUGUAGCGGUGAAAUGCUUAGAUAUCGAGAGGAACACCGGUGGCGAAGGCGGCCUUCUGGACAGUGACUGACGCUGAGACGCGAAAGCGUGGGGAGCAAACAGG